rnacentral:lncRNA from 1 species
ACCAAUGAUGAGACAGUGUUUAUGAACAAAAGAUCAUGAUUAAUCCAGUUCUGCACAAAACACUGAGGUCCAUUAGAAGACAAUAGGUCUUGGCUGUUUCAUUCCUUUUAAGAGCUGUUUAAUAUUCCACGGAGCCCUGGGCUCCCCCAGUGUUGCCUGGGUCUGACUUUGCCUCAGUGAAAACUGCCUCGAAUUCUUUCUUGCACCGAUGGGCAGAUGGGCAGUGUCGGAGGAUCGUGUCAUCUGUCCCGUGGCGCUGGUUGGCUUGGUCAAGUCAGUGUUCAAACUAUCUCCUGCUCUUUCAAGGGGAUCUGGGGCUCUAGAAGAUUAGAGGACUUGGAGAGGUUAGUGACUUGCUCGAGGUCGGCUAGGAAGCAAGACCCAGGAUUCCAACUCAGGUCUGUGUGAUUCCUCUGCAAAAUGGAGAGGUGGAAGGAUGGAUGUCAGGUCUGAUGGAUGGAUGGAUGCCUACAUCAAGAUACAUGCAUAGAUGGAGAGAUGGCUGGCUACCUCAUGAAUGCUGGACUGUUGUGAGAAUCAAACGAGAUAAUGUAUGCUGAGGCAUGCUGUGAACACUACGUGCUGGGUACAGGAGAAUGGAGGCUCCAGAGUGAAAUUAAUGACACUUUGUCGAUGAAGAUCUUGAUUGUGACCUCUGUGGAAAAUGAGCCAUGAACCAACCAAUAUGAAAAAUAAAAGAAAUCUACAUGGAUCCCACUUUGGACAAAGUGCGUGUCAACAGUUGCAUGAAAUGAAUGAAAACCAUGUAGCUGGUCUUAUUAUUCUCUAAUCAUGAAGACCAUUAUUGUUAUUUGUGGACUAAGGAGCAGAAAGACUGAUAGUGGACAUAGGCCAGCUGAUUUAAUAAUUUAAGAAAGAACUGUUAUCCUGAGUAAGGAGCAUAGAGACAAAUAUAAAAUGAACGCACUCUACCUGAUUUAAUUAUAGUCUUCUGGUGAAGAUCUUGCUGUUAUCUCUGUGAAUCAGGAGAGAAGAGAUUGAUAAGGAAUAGACGAGAUUGGAUUUGGUCAUUUCCCCAAGGUGAAGAGCAUGGCGAUUUCUUCUGUGGUAAGGAGCAAUAAUGAAGACCAUGGUUGAUUUAAUCAGUCUCUGCUGAUGAAGAUCUUGGCUGUUACCUUUGUGUGUAAGGAAGCUAAAGACUUAAGUAAAUAACAGUCCAAAAACUUGUCAAUUAGGAAUGAAUGCGCAAUGAUUCAAUUAUUCUCCAGCGAGGAAGAUCAUGGUUGUUGUCUGUUUGAGUAAUGAGUGUAGAAACCUAUAAUGGAGGCGUGAUGGCUGAUGCAAUCAUUUUCCACUGAUGAAGGUUUUGAUGGCCACCUGUAAUGAACAGCCCCAUCUGAUUUAAUCACUGUGCAAUGACCGUGAACUGUACAGUUACCUCCGUGUGUCACAGGAAGACUCUUUUGACUUAAGCACCCUUCCAUGGUCAUGAGGUUUCUGGUUGCCUCUGUGUGUUAGAAGCUUGGAGACCAAUGCCUUCUGCUGUGAUCGCGUUCUCCACAGUUGCCUCUGGGUAGGAGCCUGGACACUAAUAGAAAAUGGAUGCACUUGAGCCGACCUAAGCAUUCAUGGUCAUGAGAUUUGUGGUUGCCACUGUUGGUUAGGAGCAUAGAGAUCAGUAAUGGACACACCUGGGCUGGCAGAACAUCUUGCCUUGAUCUGGAGCCCCAUGUCUGCCCCUCUGUAGAGGUGCACAUGGGCCAAUGAUGGAUGCAAUGAGCUGAUCAUUUUGCUGUGAUCAAGGCUAUGUUGCCUCUGUGUUAGGCCAAUAAUGGACAGACCCGGGCUGAUUUUGGUGUUCUGUGGCUAUGAGAUCAGUGGUUGCCUCCAUGUGUUAGGAACAUGGAGACUGACGUAAUAGUCAAACUUCUUGUCUCAGUUUCAGUGUUCUUCUGAAGGGUAUGCAGUAAGUGCAAAAUGUAAUCAGUGACUGCCAACCAUUACCCAAAUGUAAAAAAUGUAAUUAUUAUAUAUGAAGCCUUGAGGUCAGUUGAUCUACAGGCAGAUGUUAGAAAUAUUAUUAUAUUUCUGCUUAUUCCAUAGGCAGAUGUUAGAAAUAUUCAAGAAUCUUGUCUUCUAGUUUUUGUGAUUCUUGGUAUUUAUUUUAGUAUUAUUAGAUUUUUGAUGUAUUAUUCAAUGAUAUGAAUGAAGAAAAUGAGAGCCAAGCCUGGAUCAAUGAUGUCCACUGGUGGCGUAUAAAUCAUAUUUGGUGAAUAUAUGUCUGGAACUCUGAGGUCCAAGAAGGAAGGAAUCUAGGUUAUUGCCUCUUUUAGAAAUAAUCCUAUAGAUUAUUUAAGAAUAUAUAAGGAUCUUAUUUGGCCUUUUUAAAUGAGUUUUUACUCUAUCAUAAUAAAUUGAUCAAUAAAAGGAUCAACAUAUGGAUACAAAUACAUAAAGGUAAAUAGGGUGAAGCAUCAUCAAAUUAUGGAAAGAUGUGGUGGCAAGAGAAUCCACGUGUAUGUACACUGAAGACACUGAAUGUCAUUAAAAAACCAAUGGUUCAGGCUGUUACACCUGGUUAAAAAUCAUGCAGGUAACAUAAAUAAUAGCCUGUAUUCUGUAUUAGAAAUAGCAAAGAUCCGAUUGUGUUUCGUAGCUAUCGAUUAUAUCUUCAUAAGUUGAUUAGUGCACAAAUAACCAAAGAAAUGUAUGAAUACACGAAGAAAAAUGGAACCAAGUAUGGACUAAGUAUGUCCUCUAUAAAGUUGCUCUUAGUUAGAAACAAAUUGUAGGAUUUUACUAGGGUCGGAUAGGCAUUUCUGUUCUAGAUUUCUGAAAAUGAAAAGAUUACUCAUUUUGUUGAAAAGGAAUAGCUGGUUGGAAAAAUUAAUUCGUUUGUUCCUGAAUUAUAAACUCAUUUAGACUAAUAAUGAAUGAGUUAAUAGAUAAAAAGAUCAAGAACUGACCACUCAUGAGACUGUGUUAUAAAGCCAGGAAUGAGAAGAAGCUGAUUCUGUAAAGCAAAGCUAACUUGCAGAGAAUAGCAAGACGAUUACAUGUUUGAGUGGCGGCACUGGGGCCAAUAUGUCCCAUAGUCAGAUGUUUUUCUUAAUGCAGGUGAUGGAUUCAAGAAUGUUCACUAUUGAUGUAAAAUUCAUAACUUAAAUAAUUCAAUAAAUAAAAGGAGAGUGAAUCUAAUCUAAGGAUGGGGAGUGUCGUGAACCAAUGUUUGAGAUGAACCUAACCCUGAUCAUUUCAUAUUUAUUCAGACACAGCCUGAAUCUUGUUGUUUCUUACCUGUAACAUCUACUUUGUACUUCGCAGGGUUGAUGUUCAUGGGUGAUUGAUCAUCCUGUAGCGACGGUGGUAUUGACUGUUCCCCAGAGGACAAGGAGUGUGUUCUUAUAAUGGACAUCAUGAUUGGGAUUGUCUUUAUUAAACUUUGUCAGGAGAGUAAAGAUCAAUGUGGCCACAUGUUGUGGCUCAUGCCUGUAAUCCCAACACUGUAAUCCCAGCACUGUAAUCCCAGCCUGUAAUCCCAGGCUGAGGUGGGCGGAUCACCUGAGGUUGGGAGUUCGAGACCAGCCUGACCAACAUGGAGAAACCCCGUCUCUACUAAAAAUACAAAAUUAGCCGGGCAUGGUGGCGCAUGUCUUUAAUUCCAGCUACUCAGGAGGCUGAGGCAGGAGAAACGCUUGAACCCGAGAGGCGGAGGUUGCAGUGAGCUGAGAUUGCGCCAUUGCACUCCAGCCUGGGCAACAAGAGUGAAACUCCAUCUCAAAAGAAAAAAAAAAGAAAACAAAACAAAAAAAGAAAAAACCAAUGUAAGUACCUGUUAAAGUUCUUGCUAUGGUUCCAGUGGUUUGCUUCCUAACUGUGUUAUUUAGAAAUUUGAAGUAUAUUUAAUGAAUGUCCUCCCUUCCCACUGGCCCUGCCAGGCAUGCUGCCAUCUGUUCUCUGGGACUUGUGAGUAGUACACUGCUCCUGUUAUUUCAUGUGCUUUGCUAAGUUGUUUCUUCUGUGUCUCAACUGAUCAACACACCCAGACCUAACUGAUUUCCAGGUUGGGGCUCUCCUAGAGAGUGCCUCUCUUGGUAGGAAUAAACUGGACACAGACAAGAGCCUCCAUGGUGUCUGCCUGUAUAACCAAGUUUUCUAUGAGAGGGACAAUGGGUCAUAGAUUGAACACUUGGGCAUUACAUCUGUGAGAAUAAGUCUAUAGUAAAUUUCAGUAAAUUUGAGGGAUCUAAUUAUGGGGUUUCAGUAGAUCCUGGGGAUUUAUUGCAUUAUUCGAAGGAAAUAAAUGAAAGAAUCAGCAAAACAUACAGACACACAUAUAAAUAAUUAAAGAUGAAGAGGAUAAAGCUGGAUUAAUUGAGGAAAAUGCUAUCAGACAGGAAUUUUUGGUUCUGUAAUUCUGAAACACUGCAAUGCAUUAAGAAACCUGUACAUCAAGGGUGUCACCUGUCUAGGGUAGGGUAAUAUAGAGUAGUUGUUCUCAAAUGCGAGCAUUGGAGUGACCUGGAGGGCUUGUAAAAUACAGAAGGUCACCUACAUUCUCAGGAUUUCUGAUUCAGUAGGUUUGGUGUGGGGUCUGAGAAUCUAAAUUUCUAAUAACUUAAUUUCUGUAGGUUCCAAUAGUUUCCCAAAUCAUGCUGAUGCUGCCUCCUGAGAAAUAUUUUCAGAAUCACUGAGAAAAAUGUAUGAAAUAGUUAAUGUCCUUGCUCUGUGUCAGUGGUGGAGGCUGUCUGCAGUAGGAGCAUGGAGACCAACAAUGGAUGCUCUUAAACUGAUUUAAGCACGCUUCCAUGGUCAGAAGCCUUAUGGUUGCCACAGGGUAUUAGGAGCAUGGAGACCAAUAAUGGAUGUCCUUGUUCUGAUUUGAGGAUGCCUCCAAGGUCACAUACUCUGUUUGCACCACGCUUAGGAAGGAGCGUGAAGACCAAGGGGAGUAAUAGUCAAAGUCCUUACCUUUGUUUGGGUGGUUUGUUUAAGAGUAAUCAACGUAUUAUUUAAAAGUGUGAAAUACAGUCAAAGAUGGCCAAUGUUAUUCCAGUGAUAUGGGAGUGACAUGAAGUAUUAUAUUGAUGAUGCAUAUAUAAAAAACAGGAUAGUUAAUGAAACACCCAAUGUUUGAGUGAUUCUGUAUACUGAUAGGGAAUAUCAAGAGUGUUACUGGGUUUUGUGAAUCACGGGCCUUGAAAGUAUUAUUAAUGAAUAAAUGACAUAAUCAAUAGACAAGGUAGAAAUGAAUAGCAAAAAAAAAGAAGAUCAAUGAUGACUACUGUUAGUGUAUGAGUUACACAUGAUGAAUACAUGUCUGAAACUCUGAGGUCCAUCACAAAAGAAAUCUGGCCCAUUCCUUCUGAUUCAGGUGAUCCUAUGAAUAUACAAUGUGUUUGCUUUUGGUCUUUGGGUUUGUUCACUUCACUGUAUUAUUAUAAUUGGAUCAAUGAAAUAAUUUAUACGUAUACAUGUACGUAUAUGAAGGGGAUGAAGUAUUGUCCAAUUAUAAAAUAAGUGGUGAGGCAAGAUGUAUUAUUAUUAUUAUAUUAAAGCAUUAUAUUAAAGCUUUAAUAUAUUAAAUAAAAAUCUAAUAUUAAUAUAUAAUUAAUGCAAUAUUUAAUAUAUAUUAAAUAUGAUAACAUAUUAAAAUAUUAUAUUAAAGCAUUGAAGUCCUAAGGGAAAUAAAUGGUACCCCACUGUAACGUCUUUGACUAAGGAUGAUACAGGUGGUAGUUAUAGAUAAUGGUCAACCUCUGGGUCAAGGAAAGUUGCACAAAGUGUUCAUUUUCUUAAGAGAAAAUGAAAUAAUUAUCCUUCAGAUAGUGAUUUCUCAAAUGUUUUCCUAAAGGGAAGAUGAUAAACACAGAUCAUGGAGGACUGUUUUAUCUGUUUGUGAUCUGCCGUCCUCUGUGAGCCUCAGGAUGGAUGUUUGCCAGCCGAUUCCAUGGUUACAAGCUCUAUAGCUGCAUCUAUGUGUUAGGAGCAUGAAGACCAAUAAUGGAUGCACUGAGCUGAUUAUGAAUUUAGCCCUGAUGAAGACUUGUGUUGCUGUCAUGAUAUGAAAGAUUCCAGUAAUGAACGCACUUGAGUUGAUUCAAGCACGCUUCCAUGGUCAUGAGCUCUGUGGUUGCAUCUGUGUGUUAGGAGCAUGCAGACCAAUAGUGAUAAUCUCGAGGUGAUUUAUGCAUUCUUCCAUGGCCACCAGCCUUAUGAUUGCAUCUGUGCGUCACAGCUUAGAGAUCAAUAAUGGAUGCAACAAGCUCUUUGAAUCAUUCUGUUGGGAUCAAGAUUGUUGUGUUCCCUCUGUUUGGAAAGAGACCAAGAAUGGAUACGCUCAGGUGAUUUAAGCAGUCUUCCAUGGCCACGAGCUCUGUGGUUGCCUCUGUAUAUUAAGAGCACAGAGAUUAAAAAUGGCCCCAUUCCAGCUGAUAUAAGCACUCUUCCAUGGCAUGUGCACUAUGGUUGGUUCUCUGUGUUAGGAGCACACAAACCAUUGCGAGUAUGCAUUCAUUUCCUCUCUUUACAAGAAUGGGUGCACUUGAGCCGAUUGAAACAUUCCUCCUUGCAUCUUUCUUCUGUGAUUGCAUCUAUUUGUUAGUAGCAUAGAGACCAAUAAUAGAUGGCUUGUGCUGAUGGAAGGAUUCCUCCCUGGUGACAUGCUGUGUCUGCCUCUUGAUUGGGAGCACGCAGACCUACAAUGAUGCACUUUUUAUGAUUUGAGAAUUCCUUCAUGGUCACGUGCUCUGUUUUUAUCAUGGUUGGGAGCCUGCAGAGCAAUAAGGGACAUGCCUUUGCUGAUUUGAGGAUUCCUCUGAGGUUGGGAGCUAAGUUUGCAUCAUGCUUAGAAAGGAGUGUGCAGACCUGUAAUGAUUGCACUUUGCUGAUUGAAGGAUUCCUUCAAGUCCAUGUGCUCCACUUGCACCAUUUUUAGGAUGGAGCCUGGAGACCUAUAAUGAACAACUUGUGCUGUGUUAAGGAUUCCUCCAUGAUCACGCGCCCCAUUUGUACACCAUGCUUGGGAAGGUGCAUGCAGACCAAUAAUGGACGUACUUGUGAUGAUUUAAAGAUGCCUCCAAGGUCACGUGCUCUGUUUGCACCAUGCUUAGGAAGGAGCGUACAGACCAAAAAUGGAUGAAUUGUGCACCUUGAAAAGUUCUUCCAUGGUCACCUGAGGCAUCUGCGUCAUGAUUAGGCUCCGGAUGACUAAUAAUGGAAGCACAGAAGCUGGUUUUAAUAGUUAAGAGCUGUAUGGUCCAUCUCUGUGCUAGAAGCUGGAGACCAAUAACAGUCACUCCCUGCACUGAUUCUGCCAUGACCACUUGCUCUAUGGUUGUUUUAAGGAACCUACAGACAAAUAAUGGAUUAUCAUUGGUGAAGAUCUUAGCUGGAUGGGUAGACCAGAGCUGAUUAAAUUAUUCUCCCAUUGAUGAGGAACUUUACCUUAUCCCUCAGAGUAAGGAGAAUGUCAUAUAAUGUAAGUAAUAAAGUUCUUGAGUUGGGUUGUUGGUUCAUGAUUUCUACUGUCAUUUAAAAAGAUAAUUAAAUUUUAAAAGGUCAUACUAGGCCUAUGAUGAGAAUGUGUUGUGGACCGAAAUUAAUCCAAUUUAGCACAAAUGAAGUGUAAGAAAAAAUUUAGCUUUCCCAUUCAUUUUCAAUAGUUAAAUGUCACAUUGUAUGUUUGUCUCAUUGAUUAUUUAAAGACUCUUCUCUUGAUAAAGGCUGUUACUCAUUUAUGGAGUCAGUAUUCUAGUUGUUGAGUAGGAUGGUGGUUCAAGUUUGUUCAUUUGAUAUCUAAAAGUUGUUCAAAUUAAAUGUAGAGGGGCCAUGUCUGGACCAAUGAUGUGAAUGGAAUGCAUCUGAAUAAAAAUUAUGAUCAAUCAGUUUUUGGAACAACUGAGGUCCAC